rnacentral:RNase_P_RNA from 2 species
UCCGACUGCGCUUACCCGAGCACGAACGGAUCGUCUCACUUAGAGAUGUUCAUUAAAUUAGGGUGGGAAAUUCGGUGAAAUCCUCAUGAAUGUUCUCUUGAGAGACUGCAGUAGAUUGCAGGCGACAGCCACUAGAAACUGAGCCAUUCGAGUAAUUGAAUAGGCAUGGGACAGCUGUGCGAGGAUUGGCAUAUGAUUUGCCUUGAGUUCAAUGCGCAGUGUGUUAGCUUGAAUGUUAGCAUAACCCGAUACCGAUCAUGGA